rnacentral:rRNA from 1 species
UACGGGGGGGGCAAGCGUUGUUCGGAAUUACUGGGCGUAAAGGGCGCGUAGGCGGCCCGCUAAGUCAGACGUGAAAUCCCUCGGCUCAACCGGGGAACUGCGUCUGAUACUGGCAGGCUUGAAUCCGGGAGAGGGAUGUGGAAUUCCAGGUGUAGCGGUGAAAUGCGUAGAUAUCUGGAAGAACACCGGUGGCGAAGGCGGAUCUCUGGGCCAUUACUGACGCUGAGGAGCGAAAGCGUGGGGAGCGAACAGG